rnacentral:rRNA from 1 species
GUAGUCUGCAACUCGACUACAUGAAGCCGGAAUCGCUAGUAAUCGCGGAUCAGAAUGCCGCGGUGAAUACGUUCCCGGGUCUUGUACACACCGCCCGUCACACCAUGGGAGCCGGAAAUGCCCGAAGUCAGUGACCCAACCAAUAAGGAGGGAGCUGCCGAAGGCAGGUCUGGUGACUGGGGGUGAAGUCGUAACAAGGUACC